GACGAACGCUGGCGGCGUGCUUAACACAUGCAAGUCGAACGGAAAGGCCCUGCUUGCAGGGUACUCGAGUGGCGAACGGGUGAGUAACACGUGGGUGAUCUGCCCUGCACUUCGGGAUAAGCUUGGGAAACUGGGUCUAAUACCGGAUAGGUACCAUCUUUAGUGUGGUGGUUGGAAAGUUUUUUCGGUGUAGGAUGAGCUCGCGGCCUAUCAGCUUGUUGGUGGGGUAAUGGCCUACCAAGGCGGCGACGGGUAGCCGGCCUGAGAGGGUGUACGGCCACAUUGGGACUGAGAUACGGCCCAGACACCGACGGGAGGCAGCAGUGGGGAAGAUUGCACAAUGAGCGCAAGCCUGAUGCAGCGACGCCUCGUGGGGGAUGAAGGCCUUCGGGUUGUAAACUCCUUUCGCUAGGGACGAAGCUUUGUUGUGACGGUACCUAGAGAAGAAGCACCGGCUAACUACGUG
rnacentral:rRNA from 1 species